rnacentral:rRNA from 1 species
UACGAAGGGGCUAGCGUUGCUCGGAAUUACUGGGCGUAAAGGGCGCGUAGGCGGCACUGUUAGUCAGGUGUGAAAUCUCCACGCUCAACGUGGAGGGGUCACCUGAUACUGCCGAGCUUGAGUCCGGUAGGGGAGUGCGGAAUUCCCGGUGUAGCGGUGAAAUGCGCAGAUAUCGGGAGGAACACCGGUGGCGAAGGCGGGUCACUGGGCCGAUC